rnacentral:rRNA from 1 species
AGAGUUUGAUCCUGGCUCAGGAUGAACGCUGGCGGUCUGCUUAACACAUGCAAGUCGAACGGGGAACUUCGGUUCCUAGUGGCGGACGGGUGAGUAACGCGUGAGAAUCUGCCUUCAGGUCGGGGACAACAGCUGGAAACGGCUGCUAAUACCGGAUGUGCCGAAGGGUGAAAGAUUUAUUGCCUGAAGAAGAGCUCGCGUCUGAUUAGCUAGUUGGUAGGGUAAAAGCCUACCAAGGCAUCGAUCAGUAGCUGGUCUGAGAGGAUGAUCAGCCACACUGGGACUGAGACACGGCCCAGACUCCUACGGGAGGCAGCAGUGGGGAAUUUUCCGCAAUGGGCGAAAGCCUGACGGAGCAAGACCGCGUGGGGGAGGAAGGUUCUUGGAUUGUAAACCCCUUUUCUCAGGGAAGAACACAAUGACGGUACCUGAGGAAUCAGCAUCGGCUAACUCCGUGCCAGCAGCCGCGGUAAUACGGAGGAUGCAAGCGUUAUCCGGAUUUAUUGGGCGUAAAGCGUCCGCAGGUGGCUAUUCAAGUCUGCUGUCAAAGCUCGGAGCUUAACUCCGAAUCGGCGGUGGAAACUGAACAGCUAGAGUGCAGUAGGGGUAGAGGGAAUUCCCAGUGUAGCGGUGAAAUGCGUAGAGAUUGGGAAGAACACCGGUGGCGAAAGCGCUCUACUGGACUGCAACUGACACUCAGGGACGAAAGCUAGGGGAGCGAAUGGGAUUAGAUACCCUAGUAGUCC